UCCCUAGAGCUGGGGGCAGGUGACGUGGAGCCAGCAGCGGUGGGUGCUGCUGGUGCAGACGUGAAUGUGUGCCACAGGAGAUGGGCAUGGGCAGGGUACAACCCAGCCAGCGAAAAACAGGAUUGAUUGGUCAGAUGAAUGAUGCUGCCUCCUGCAGCCCCCUUUCCCCAUGGCUGUGCCGCAGGAGCUCAAGGCAGUAAGAGCAGAGGAGCCUGUGCAGAGUUCCUGGUGGGACUGCAGCUUUCAUCCAGAUUGCAGAUGCCCAAAAUAUCUGUAUUCUGGGCUGAGCAGACCGAAGUGCCCGUGGUUGAAGAGGACAUAGGGGAAGGCAGAAAGACAGACAAAGGAAAAGCACCUGAGCAGAGCUGAGGGUUUGUUUAAGGUGCUCACAUGUCAGCAGCUGAUGCAAACACACCAGUGGAUGCUACAGAGACCACAAACAGCCGUGGGUGUCUGCACACACUGCCCCCCCUGUUUAUCCAUGAACGGGAGCCACUCCAAUGAGCUGAGUCUGAUUUUAAAGGAUCUUUUGAGUGUUAAACAUGUAAUAAGAUGCUCAGUGCUAUUUUCAAACCAAGGCAUGUUCCUGGCUAAUUUACAAAAGGCCACAGUUUCCACUUUUAUGUGGGCAAAUGCUUUAAAAAAUUGGCUCCUGGGAUUUCGGGUGAUCAUUGAUUCAUCCUCUGACAAGCCUUCAUCUCUGACGUUUCCAUUACCAACUUUUCCAUCUCCAACUGCUUCAUCAUCCUCCUGAGCAUGGGCACACAGCUAAUAAAUCUGAGUCUUUAAUUGCCCUCCCACACUGUGUGGCUUUAUCUGAGCCAUCAUUCCUGUCGCUGUGCCUUGUCACAUCUCUCUGCUUCCAGCUUUGUGCUGCUGGAGUCAGCAAAAGGACAAAACUGUUCUUUAGGUUUGGGUUUAGGUACAAAUCCCCCCAGUAACACACUCCAUGGCUGUAUGGCCCUACAUGAUGUGUCUGACAUGGCUGAGUUGGCUCUCCCUGGGGAAGAUACAAACCCUCUGCUUUUAUCUCGUGCAAGGUCCCGUUUUUUGAUUCUUUAUGCAGCUGAAACUAUGAUAAGAAAUUGUGUAAGGAAAAAAAAAAUAAAAACCACAAACCCACCAUAAAUUCCCUUGCUAAAGACAUCAGUAAGGGUGGAGGAUUCUGCUGGCCCAGUGGUGCUGGGACCACUGGGGUGGAAAAGCCUCAGGUCCCAAGAACACUCAACGCCUCUGGUACCCAAGAGAGAUUUAUUUAUUCCCCCCAGUUUAUCCCCCUGUCAGGAGGUUUCCCACAGCCCUCCAGGAGUUGGUGCAGCAGUAUCAGUGGGCACUGGUCUAUCAGACUGAGCAGAAGCUUUUCCAGGAACUCUCUGGUGCCACACGUGACCGUGCCCGGCCGAGGCGUGAUACGUGACAGGCAUUCACCAGGUUCCCAGCCAGUCAGUUGACUUUGUUAUUCAAACUAUUUUAGUGAUGGUUUUUAAUCCCAGGCUUAAGUUUUUCUUUUUUCUAUUUUCCUUUUUUUUUUUUUUUUCCUUUCCUCUCGCUUCUUUUUUUACUCUCUGAACAAGGGAAUCUCUACACUGGCAGGAUUCAGAGAGGCACAAAGGAGGGAAAAACAAGUUUCAGCCAGAAGAGAGAGGGGAAAAAAAAGGAUGCUGUUAGCAUUCCCUGUAUUAGAGGGGGUAAAAACAUUUUGCUGUCAACUCUGUUUUAAAGGGUAAGUGCCAACAGCAGCCCAGUUACUAUGCAAAUACAUCGUGCGCUCAGCCUUUCCCUCUCAGUGCAAAAUUUUGGUGCUGGGGGUUGUUAGCCAGGGAAGCUGGGCUGUGGGGGCUGGCAUUGCCCCCCAUAUCCCCGGUGCUCCCAUCCCCAUCUUGGGGAUGGCCUCUGGCUGGGGGUGCCACUGCAAAGCUCUGGACCUUGCCAGGGGCCAUUGGUGGUGCCCAAGUUCCCUCAGAUAGCGUGGGACAGCGGGGAGCACUGCAGAGCUGUGGGCUGGGUACCCCUGCUCCUUAUCAAAAGCGGAUUCAGGCAGCUGCUGGCAGCAUAGCCCUUGGCUGUGCCUCUGUGAGAGGGGACACCCCAGGGAGUGCCUGGAAAGGGCAGAAAUCUCACCAAAGACAUUCCCUUUCAUGGCUGGCAAGUGGGGAGGGUCUGGCAGCAGCCACCCUGGGGUACAGGGUUGUCUCUCACUCGCUGCUGCCAGGUGCAAAGGAAGGUGAUGCCAGACUGUGGCUGGGUUCAUGCAGAUGAUGACCAGCACCCCAGCACUGGUUAUUUAUAGUGACACUUCCCCACGACAGCACAGGGGCUGCACAUG